rnacentral:rRNA from 1 species
UACGUAGGGGGCAAGCGUUGUCCGGAUUUAUUGGGCGUAAAGCGCGUGUAGGCGGCUAGAUAGGUCCGUUGUGAAAACUCGAGGCUCAACCUCGAGACGCCGAUGGAAACCAUUUGGCUAGAGUCCGGAAGAGGAGAGUGGAAUUCCUGGUGUAGCGGUGAAAUGCGCAGAUAUCAGGAAGAACACCCGUGGCUAAGGCGGCUCUCUAGUACGGUACUGACGCUGAGACGCGAAAGCGUGGGGAGCGAACAGG